rnacentral:rRNA from 1 species
UGAGGAAUAUUGGUCAAUGGGCGAUAGCCUGAACCAGCCAAGUAGCGUGAAGGAUGAAGGCUCUAUGGGUCGUAAACUUCUUUUAUAUAAGAAUAAAGUGCAGUAUGUAUACUGUUUUGUAUGUAUUAUAUGAAUAAGGAUCGGCUAACUCCGUGCCAGCAGCCGCGGUAAUACGGAGGAUCCGAGCGUUAUCCGGAUUUAUUGGGUUUAAAGGGAGCGUAGGUGGACUGGUAAGUCAGUUGUGAAAGUUUGCGGCUCAACCGUAAAAUUGCAGUUGAUACUGUCAGUCUUGAGUACAGUAGAGGUGGGCGGAAUUCGUGGUGUAGCGGUGAAAUGCUUAGAUAUCACGAAGAACUCCGAUUGCGAAGGCAGCUCACUGGACUGCAACUGACACUGAUGCUCGAAAGUGUGGGUAUCAAACAGG